UUGGUAGCUGGAUUUAAGGUGAAUACAAAAACCAGUAAACUCUGUGGUUGACCAGGACCAGUGCUGUCCACCCCUGCUGUUUGGGCACGUAUUUCUGCAUGCCUGGCUGACACUGCAGCCUGGAUGCCCCCCGUGACCUGAAACUCAACCUAGGGAAGGCAGAACGCCUGUGCCUCCUGGCAAAGGGUUCUCUGCAAAUUGAUACUUCAGCUGCUGUCAGCAGCCCUGCAGUGUCUCCUGCUCUGCUAAGAACCUUGGCGUGAUCCUGGAUCAUCACCUGAGCUAACUGGGACACAUCAUGGCAACCAACUGGUCCUGCUGGGUCUCCAUGCACACAUCAGAAGAAUCUGCCCCUUCCUCAUCAAAGAGAUUGCACUGUCACAGCUACUCAUCCAAGCUCCCUUAAUUUCUCAUAUGUGCUAUUGCAGAAGAUUAGUGGGGGGUUCUUUUCUGUAUAUUUGUGUUGGCUACAAUAACGGCCUUGAAGGUCACUUUGGACAAAAACAUCAGGUAAAUUAAUAAAAUGUAAUGAGGGUACAUUUGCCACGUGCUCCUAAAGUGUGGUUUAGAAACCUUAAUAUGCCACCAGUGUGGUCUUUUAGGGGAACUAAUAAGAGUUUCAUAUCAUUUGGCAGGCUCCCAGCACAUACACACUCAUCUUCCCUUAACCUGAAUUGGUAAAGAAAAAUAAAUCUCUAGAAGUCUAUUCUCCUUCGGACUUUGAAAUAAGCAGUCCCUACUUCCCCCAGAAAUUAAAUCUGGCAUCACAUUGUGCAGAAUAACAGAGAAGAACAGUAGGUUUUGAUAAAACAGAAUGUGACAUGCUUGCACUUGUAGUCAAAGUACAAUUCCCAUGUUCCAUUUGAAUUUAUGGUUAAUUUCUGGGAUCCCUUCCAGAAAUUUCAGGGUGUUGGCAUGAGGAAACCUUGUAAUUAUUUCAGCGCUCUUGUCAACUGUUGUAACAUAGAUAUGUUUAUAUUGGCACAAUUGUGUAAUUUCACCAUCUGUCAAAGUAAUUACUGAGGAAGGAGCAACAGCAAUUUAGAGGUCUUUGGUAAUAUAUUGUUUUUGCUAAAGGGGAGAGAGUACUUAAGCAGGCAAUCAAGAUUAACAGGGUCAGUAGCUUAAAUUGUACAUGGUGAUGUGUUGCACUAAAAAUAUAAUCGUAAUGGUAUUUGGUCCAAGUCUUCACAUGUAGAUAUGGUAACAUACUGGGCAGCAGCAGAAAUAUCUUGGAAUGCCAGAAAAUGUCUCAAAAUUGAAUUAUUGUUCAGCUACACCGCUCAA